rnacentral:rRNA from 1 species
AUGGCUCCCAGGAAGAAGCGCAAGAGUGCGCCGCCGGAGACGGUGAGCACCACCGUCCACGACCUCCCCGACAGUCUCCUACAGUACGUGCUCUCCUUCCUCCCAGCGCAGGCGGCUGUUCGGACGUGCGUGCUCGCCCGGCGCUGGCGCCACCUUUGGAGGUCCACCACAGGCCUGCGCAUCGUAGGCCUUGAUGACGAUGAGGAGAAUGUCCCAGUCCAAGACCUCCGGAAAUUCGUGGAACAUCUGCUGAUGCUGCGCGAGCGCACCGACCUAGAAAGUGUUGAGAUGAAAUUCUACAGUUGCUCUGAAGGCGAAAUGCCCUAUGUGAAUCUAUGGAUCCGUUUUGCUGUGAUUUGCAAAGUUCGGGUGCUCACCCUUCAUAUCCUUGAGGAUGAUUACCUCCCCCUAGACGACCUGCCUCUUGUGUCUCUGCACCUGAAAACAUUGGACCUUUAUGGUCUAAUCCUAGAAAAGAGCUUUCUUGAUUUUGCUAGCUGUCCAGCAUUGGAGAAUCUGAAGAUGAAUGAUUGCAAAAUCAAUGGUUGGAAGAUAUCGUCCCUUUCCCUAAAGCAUUUGAGCAUCACUAGUUGCUUCUGUGACCCAGAUUCCCGGCUCAGGAUUUCCACUCCAGGCCUUGUCUCUUUGAAACUAGAUUGCUUUGUGGGUAAAACCCCUUUUCUUGAAAACAUGCCGUUGCUAUAG